UUGUCAAAUAUAGGGUAAUGCAGGGCAAAAUGAGACACCUAAGGACAUUUACUGUUGUAGAAUGGAAGGCAUAGCAAUUUGAAUUUUCUUUUUGACUUGGGUAUGUGAGGUUGACUCACAGCAAGAUAUGUAAAGCAAAAAAAAAUGUUUGAAAUAAUUUAUUUGCGAUAAAUCGAGGAAAACCUAGCAGUGGUAAUUGUCUCAUCUUGCCCCGGCACAGUGAGGCAAAAUGAGACAGGGCUAAAAAUUAAAAAUAAAGUCAAUAUAAUUAUACUUAUUUUAAUAGAACUUUAGAACUAAUUAUAAAAUACAUGUUUCAAAUCAUU
rnacentral:lncRNA from 1 species